AGUGAACGCUGGCGGUAGGCCUAACACAUGCAAGUCGAACGGCAGCACAGUAAGAGCUUGCUCUUACGGGUGGCGAGUGGCGGACGGGUGAGGAAUACAUCGGAAUCUACUUUUUCGUGGGGGAUAACGUAGGGAAACUUACGCUAAUACCGCAUACGACCUACGGGUGAAAGCAGGGGAUCUUCGGACCUUGCGCGAUUGAAUGAGCCGAUGUCGGAUUAGCUAGUUGGCGGGGUAAAGGCCCACCAAGGCGACGAUCCGUAGCUGGUCUGAGAGGAUGAUCAGCCACACUGGAACUGAGACACGGUCCAGACUCCUACGGGAGGCAGCAGUGGGGAAUAUUGGACAAUGGGCGAAAGCCUGAUCCAGCCAUGCCGCGUGAGUGAAGAAGGCCUUCGGGUUGUAAAGCCCUUUUGUUGGGAAAGAAAAGCAGCAGGUUUAUACCCCGAUGUUCUGACGGUACCCAAAGAGAAAGCACCGGCUAACUUCGUG
rnacentral:rRNA from 1 species